rnacentral:misc_RNA from 1 species
UCCGAGUUGACCCCGGCAGUCUCCCAUGAGUCCCCGGCAUAACCCGCUGGCAACAUGGAACGAGGGUUGCGCUCGUUGCGGGACUUAACCCAACAUCUCACGACACGAGCUGACGACGACCAUGCACCACCUGUAUACGAGUGUCCAAAGAGUAGACCAUUUCUGGCCCGUUCUCGUAUAUGUCAAGCCUUGGUAAGGUUCUUCGCGUUGCAUCGAAUUAAUCCGCAUGCUCCGCCGCUUGUGCGGGCCCCCGUCAAUUCCUUUGAGUUUUAGCCUUGCGGCCGUACUCCCCAGGCGGGGAACUUAAUGCGUUAGCUUCGGCACGGAAGGAAUCGACACCUCCCACACCUAGCACCCAUCGUUUACGGCGUGGACUAC